GUGGAUUAGAUACCCUGGUAGUCCACGCCGUAAACGAUGAGUGCUAAGUGUCGGGGGGUUUCCGCCCCUCGGUGCUGGAGUUAACGUAUUAAGCACUCCGCCUGGGGAGUACGACCGCAAGGUUGAAACUCAAAGGAAUUGACGGGGACCCGCACAAGCGGUGGAGCAUGUGGUUUAAUUCGAAGCUACGCGAAGAACCUUACCAGCUCUUGACAUCUUCUGUCCACUCUAGAGAUAGAGCUUCCCCUUCGGGGGCAGAAUGACAGGUGGUGCACGGUUGUCGUCAACU
rnacentral:rRNA from 1 species